GAUGAACGCUGACAGAAUGCUUAACACAUGCAAGUCUUUGGCGAAGCUGUGCUUGCACAGCCUAGCCAAGGCGGACGGGUGAGUAACGCGUAAGGAACUUGCCCUGCAGUCAGGGAUAACAGACGGAAACGACUGAUAAGACCUGGUAAAGUCAGGCGGACUCACGUCCAGCCUGAUGAAAAGAGAUGCUGCAGGAGAGCCUUGCGUCCUAUUAGCUUGUUGGUGGGGUAACGGCCCACCAAGGCGAUGAUAGGUAGCCGGCCUGAGAGGGUGGACGGCCACAAGGGGACUGAGAUACGGCCCUUACUCCUACGGGAGGCAGCAGUGGGGAAUAUUGGACAAUGGGGGCAACCCUGAUCCAGCAAUUCUGUGUGCACGAUGAAGGUUUUCGGAUUGUAAAGUGCUUUCAGCAGGGAAGAAAAAAAUGACGGUACCUGCAGAAGAAGCGACGGCUAAAUACGUG
rnacentral:rRNA from 1 species